ACGGCCAUAUUACGUUGAAACACCAGUUCCAGUACGAUCAUCGAAGUUAAGCAACUUCGAUCCUGGUCAGAUGGGUGACCGCUUGGGAAGUUCAAGUGCUGUAA